rnacentral:rRNA from 1 species
UACGUAGGGUGCGAGCGUUAAUCGGAAUUACUGGGCGUAAAGCGUGCGCAGGCGGUUCGUUGUGUCUGAUGUGAAAGCCCCGGGCUCAACCUGGGAAUGGCAUUGGAAACUGGCGAGCUAGAGUGUGGCAGAGGGGGGCGGAAUUCCGCGUGUAGCAGUGAAAUGCGUAGAGAUUUGGAGGAACACCAGUGGCGAAGGCGACUUUCUGGUCUGUAACUGACACUGAGGCGCGAAAGCGUGGGGAGCAAACAGG